UACACACCGCCCGUCACACCAUGGGAGUUGGUUCGACCUUAAGCCGGUGUGCGAACCCGCAAGGGACGCAGCCGAUCACGGUCGGGUCAGCGACUGGGGUG
rnacentral:rRNA from 1 species